UACUACGGGAGGCAGCAGUGGGGAAUCUUGGACAAUGGGCGCAAGCCUGAUCCAGCCAUGCCGCGUGAGUGAUGAAGGCCUUAGGGUCGUAAAGCUCUUUCGCCUGUGAAGAUAAUGACUGUAGCAGGUAAAGAAACCCCGGCUAACUCCGUGCCAGCAGCCGCGGUAAUACGGAGGGGGUUAGCGUUGUUCGGAAUUACUGGGCGUAAAGCGCGCGUAGGCGGACUGGAAAGUUGGGGGUGAAAUCCCAGGGCUCAACCCUGGAACUGCCUCCAAAACUAUCAGUCUAGAGUUCGAGAGAGGUGAGUGGAAUUCCGAGUGUAGAGGUGAAAUUCGUAGAUAUUCGGAGGAACACCAGUGGCGAAAGCGGCUCACUGGCUCAAUACUGACCCUGAGGUGCUAAAGUGUGGGGAGCCAACAGGAUUAGAUACCCUGGGAGUCCCC
rnacentral:rRNA from 1 species